UACCAAAGUGUUGCAUUCAGUUCACUGCAACUUCCCUGGUUUGUUAGUUAAACUUUGGGACGUUAAAAUAGGCUAGGACAGGGGCUGGCGCUGUGGCGCAGCAGGUUAACACCCUGGCCUGAAGCG
ensembl:snoRNA